rnacentral:snoRNA from 1 species
AUUGAAGGAGCUGCCCCCUAGAGGCCUUGCAGGUGUGGCUGCUGUGUCACAAGUGUGACAGCAGGUGGCAGAGAGGAGCCAGGCUGUGUCUCAGUGAGCUAGCCUGAGGGGACCAUCAGUCUGGCAGU